AUUGAACGCUGGCGGCAGGCCUAACACAUGCAAGUCGAGCGGAGAGUCGGAAGGGGGAGUAAUGCCUAGGAAUCUGCCUGGUAGUGAGGGAUAACUUACGGGAACGGACGCUAAUACAGCAUACUAGAAGAGGACCCUCGGUCGGAUUAGCUGGUUGGUGGGGUAAAGGCCUACCAAGGCGACGAUCCGUAACUGGUCUGAGAGGAUGAUCAGUCACACUGGAACUGAGACACGGUCCAGACUCCUACGGGAGGCAGCAGUGGGGAAUAUUGGACAAUGGGCGAAAGCCUGAUCCAGCCAGGCCGCGUGUGUGAAGAAGGUUUUCGGAUUGUAAAGCUCUUUAGUUUGGGAGGCGGUACCUACAGAAGAAGCACCGGCUAACUUCGUGCCAGCAGCCGCGGUAAUUC
rnacentral:rRNA from 1 species